ACCAACCUCUUGGUUUGCCUAGGACUGAGGGGUUUCCUGGGAUGUGAGACCUGCAAUGCUAAUGCUGAGAUGGU
rnacentral:miRNA from 1 species